rnacentral:rRNA from 1 species
AACGAACGCUGGCGGCAUGCCUAACACAUGCAAGUCGAACGAAGCCUUCGGGCUUAGUGGCGCACGGGUGCGUAACGCGUGGGAAUCUGCCCUUGGGUUCGGAAUAACAGUUAGAAAUGACUGCUAAUACCGAAUGAUGUCUUCGGACCAAAGAUUUAUCGCCCAAGGAUGAGCCCGCGUCGGAUUAGCUAGUUGGUGAGGUAAAGGCUCACCAAGGCGACGAUCCGUAGCUGGUCUGAGAGGAUAAUCAGCCACACUGGGACUGAGACACGGCCCAGACUCCUACGGGAGGCAGCAGUGGGGAAUAUUGGACAAUGGGCGAAAGCCUGAUCCAGCAAUGCCGCGUGAGUGAUGAAGGCCUUAGGGUUGUAAGGGCUCUUUUUACCCCGGGGAUGAUAAUGACAGUACCGGGAGAAUAAGCCCCCGGGCUAACUCCGUGCCAGCAGCCGCGGUAAU